CGUGCAGGCGGUCGGGUAAGUCAGAUGUGAAAGCCUUCUGCUUAACAGAAGAAGUGCAUUUGAAACUGCUCGGCUAGAGUACGGGAGAGGAGAGUGGAAUUCCCGGUGUAGAGGUGAAAUUCGUAGAUAUCGGGAGGAACACCAGUGGCGAAGGCGGCUCUCUGGUCCGAUACUGACGCUGAGACGCGAAAGCGUGGGGAGCAAACAGGAUUAGAUACCCUGGUAGUCCACGCCGUAAACGAUGGGCACUAGGUGUAGGAGGUAUUGACCCCUUCUGUGCCGAAGUUAACGCAUUAAGUGCCCCGCCUGGGGAUACGGCCACAAGGCUAAA
rnacentral:rRNA from 1 species